rnacentral:lncRNA from 1 species
CCUGGCCAGUGCCUCCCACCCCUACAAACUCCCCUUGUGUGGUUUCAGUUUGGUUUUUACACUUACAUAGUUCUUUACUCUCAAAGGGAUUUUCUAACCAUUCUCUCACCAUCGGGUGCCACAGGCUUUUAUUUUCAAAGAGUCACACAAAUUUCUAAUUCUUUUUCCCAAACGAACUUCACAAGUAAUUAAUUCCACUUAGCUGGACGCCUGGGAAGGAGGUUCAACAGUCCUCGUCCCAUGACCCGGUGAACUCAUGUCUUCAUUCUCUCCCUUCACCUGUCUCCUCUUUUCCAUGCUGUGCCUUCACUUUUUACCAGGUCUUCUCUUUUGAAAUCUUAAAUGCUUAGACAUUUCUGUAUUUUCAGAGUUUGUGUUCUAGUUAAUUCUUGUCCAACCUUUUUUUUUUUUUUUUUGAGAUGGAGUCUUGCUCUGCCGCCCAGGCUGGAGUGCGGUGUCGAGAUCUCGGCUCACUGCAAGCUCCGCCUCUCAGGUUCACGUCAUCUUCCUGCCUCAGCCUCCCAGGUAGCUGGGACUAUAGGUGCCCGCCACCACACCUGGCUAAUUUUUUGUAUUUUUAGUAGAGACAAGGUUUCACCGUGUUAGCCAGGAUGGUCUCCAUCUCCUGACUUUGUGAUCCACCCGCCUUGGCCUCCCAAAGUGCUGGGAUUACAGGCAUGAGCCACUGUGCCUGGCCCCUUGUCCAACCUUUGAAGACAGUAGGAUUUUCUUUCUGUAGGAAUCAGAAUUUUCCAAGGUGCCAUGUGGGGCAGUUAUGUAAAUGAAGCACCCCCAGAUCCCUACAGCCUCCUUGGAUUUUGAUCCAACACAGAAAAAUUAUCAUUUAUUUAUUUAUUUAUUAUUUAGAGACAGGGUCUUGCUCUGUCACCCAGGCUGGAGUGCAGGGGCACAGUCAUAGCUCAUUGCAGCCCCCAACUCCUGAGCUCAAGUGAUCCUCUUGCCUCAGCAAGUAGCCAGGACUAUAGGCAUGUUCCAACACCAUGCCCAGCUAGUUUUUUGUUUUUUUUUUUUUUAGUUUUGUAGAGGCGAGGUCUCACUAUGUUGCCCAGACUGGUCUCUUACUCCUGGGCUCAAGCCAUCCUCCUGCCUCAGAAAGUCAUCUUUGCCUCAAAUGUACGAUUAAUUUGGGGGUAGGCUUUGCCACCACUAUCUCACUGGGUCCUCCCCAGACCACUGUGGGAUAGGGCUGUCUCUUUCCCCAUCUUUGAAAUGAGGAAACAGGUCUGAAAAUCGAGGCAACUCCCAUCUUCUCCCACCACCCCUGAAGCCCUAGCACAAGGCUGGGCAUCCAGCCAGCCCUCGGGAAGUUUGUUUGGACUGGGAUGACUGAACUAGGUCUUUUUUCUGAGUCCUAAACCCCCAGGGACAUCCCGUUCAUUCGGUCUGCAAAUAUACUUUUUGUAUACCUACUAUGUGCCAGGUGCUGUUUUAGGCCUUAGGGAUAAAGCCGUGAAUAAAACAAAGAUCCUUGUCCUUGUGGACCUUACAUCCCAGCAGCGGAGAAGACAGAUGAGUAAAGUAUAUGGUAUGUUAGGUAAAAGUGUUAAGAAAAAUAAAGCAGGAUGUUGGGCAUGGUGGCUCACGCCUGUAAUCCCAGCAUUUUGGGAGGCUGAGGUGGGUGGAUCACCUGAGGUCAGAAGUUCGAGACCAGCCUGGCCAACAUGGUGAAACCCCAUCUCUACUAAAAAUACAAAAAUUAGCUGGGCGUGGUGGCAGGCGCCUGUAAUCCCAGCUACUCGGGAG